CACUAAUCUAUUAUUCUACUAGUCAUGUUUACCCAAAAAAUAUUCUUUUAAUUAAUCGAAUAGUUAGCACUGCCACGGCAAAGAAAUGAACUUUAGGAAAGAAUUUAAAGUCGUGUGCCACGGCGCCUCGUCGAACCCACCAAGCGUCGCUACAGUUUUUCACCUACCAUUGUUAUGACAAGUCACCGACCUUCUGCUCUCUCUCUUCCUCUCUCUCUGGUAAUACUAACUAAAUUCUUCUCUCUACUCUCUCCCCUUGACUGAUUUUAGCCAAAAAACUGGGAACUUCAAAGUUUUGUGGGUUGAGAGAUGAAAAUGAAGGACCCAGAUUCACCGACAACGCUGCCAAUUGCAAUCAGUUCACAGCAACAAAUAACAGCAAGUACUGUGAAGAAAGACAGCUCCGUAGUUGGUUUCUUUGGUAAAAGUGGAUACAAUUCUGGGUCUUGGCUGCAAUUCUCUUACUUGCUUUCUGGUCCAUGUUUACGGGCUCUCUUUCUCUCAAAUAGUCUUCGGGAGAUCUUAGUAGAUUAUCUGAUGACACUGACUUCUCUGUCCAUCACGAUCUCGACGUCCUGUCGUUUUGUUAAAAAGGAAUUGGAGGAAAGAGAGAAGGUGGCGAGGAAGAUGUGAUAUAUUUAUACGCAUAGCGCUAGCGUUUGUUUGCCAAGGUUUUGGCUUGAAGCUUUUGCGGCUGCUUAUGAAUAUUUAUCAAGUGAUGUUCCUGGCGUUCGAGAUACUGCUAUGUCUGAGAUUGCUAAAUUAUCUAUAAGUUCCCUAAAUCUUGAUUCGCUUUGGCCUCAAUCAAAGAGCAGCAGUCAAGGGAAACAAGCUGCUAAAAAGAAAGAGAUCGAUGCAAGUGGGACUAACUUAUAGCGAGAAUUUCCAAUCCCAGUUGCCAGUGAACCGUGCAAUCUCUCACACAGCUUGAAGUUCGGAGGAAAUGGCAAAUAGCUUGACUGUAACCAACCACCUAUGUUAUCAGAUUAAGAUUGAGAAGAUUGUUUCUCUUCCAUCAUUGAAUGAAGUCUUCAGAUGAAGUUUUCUACUAUUGAAUUUAAAACUGUCAAAAAUGGAGGACAUUUGCUUCGUCAAGUUUAAGGCCCUUGUAUCAUGGACAGGAAUUACAGA